UGGGGGAUAUUGCACAAUGGGCGAAAGCCUGAUGCAGCGACGCCGCGUGGGGGAUGAAGGCCUUCGGGUUGUAAACUUCUUUUGCUCUGAACAAGGCAUGCCUUUGGGGUGUGUUGAGUGUAGGGGUUGAUUAGCGCCGGCUAACUACGUGCCAGCAGCCGCGGUAAUACGUAGGGCGCGAGCGUUGUCCGGAAUUAUUGGGCGUAAAGGGCUUGUAGGUGGCUGGUUGCGUCUGUCGUGAAAGCUCAUGGCUUAACUGUGGGUUUGCGGUGGGUACGGGCUGGCCUGAGUGCAAUAAGGGGGGCUCGAAUUCCUGGUGUAGCGGUGGAAUGCGCAGAUAUCAGGAGGAAUACCGGUGGCGAAGGCGGGUCUCUGGGCUGUUACUGACGCUGAGGAGAGAAAGCGUGGGGAGCGAACAGG
rnacentral:rRNA from 1 species